AGGAACUGGAGAGAUGGCUCAGG
rnacentral:piRNA from 1 species